UACGGAGGGUGCGAGCGUUGUCCGGAAUCAUUGGGCGUAAAGGGCGCGUAGGUGGCCCGGUCAGUUCGUGGUGAAAGCGCGGGGCUCAACCCUGCGUCGGCCAUGAAUACUGCCGCGGCUGGAGCACUGUAGGAGGCAGGCGGAAUUCCGGGGUGUAGCGGUGGAAUGCGUAGAGAUCCGGAAGAACACCGGUGGCGAAGGCGGC
rnacentral:rRNA from 1 species